rnacentral:lncRNA from 1 species
CCAUUCUUAUCAUGGUAUCAGAGCCUGGCCCAUCCCAAUUAUUGUUACUGAUGUUGGGCCCCCAUUUAUGUUGUCCACGCUCCAGCGAUCUGGGCGUGAGAGGGGGUGUUGAGUUGUCCCACAUCGGAGGGAUUUGAGGUCCUUGGUCUCCUUAUAUGGCUUGGGCAAUCCUCACCUCAUAAGCUAGAUUUUGGGGUUGAGUUAGGCCCAAGAUCCAUUCUUAU